UACGAAGGGGGCUAGCGUUGUUCGGAAUUACUGGGCGUAAAGCGCGCGCAGGCGGUCUUCCAAGUCAGUGGUGAAAGCCUGGAGCUCAACUCCAGAACUGCCAUUGAAACUGUUAGACUUGAGUACGAGAGAGGUGAGUGGAAUUCCCAGUGUAGAGGUGAAAUUCGUAGAUAUUGGGAAAGAACACCAGUGGCGAAGGCGGCUCACUGGCUCGUAACUGACGCUCAGGCGCGACAGCUGGGGAGCAAACAGG
rnacentral:rRNA from 1 species